GACGAACCGAGCGAACGUUGUUCGGAAUCACUGGGCUUAAAGGGCGCGUAGGCGGACAUUCAAGUCCGUGGUGAAAUCCUCCAGCUCAACUGGAGAACUGCCGCGGAUACUGGGUGUCUCGAGGGAGGUAGGGGCAUGCGGAACUAACGGUGGAGCGGUGAAAUGCGUUGAUAUCGUUAGGAACUCCGGUGGCGAAGGCGGCAUGCUGGACCUCUUCUGACGCUGAGGCGCGAAAGCCAGGGGAGCAAACGGG
rnacentral:rRNA from 1 species